CAUGUACUCCCUCCGUCCGAAAAUACUUGUCAUCAAAAUAAAUAAAAGGGGAUGUAUCUAGACCUAAUACAUCCCUUUUUAUUCAUUUUGAUGACAAGUAUUUUUGGACGGAGGGAGUAUAAG
rfam:Triticum aestivum genome assembly, contig: Triticum_aestivum_CS42_TGACv1_scaffold_061089_1DL